rfam:Ipomoea nil DNA, scaffold: scaffold3030, cultivar: Tokyo-kokei standard.
GGGUUCAUAGCUCAAUGGUAGAGCAUUUGACUGCAGAUUAAAAAGUCACUAGUUUGAACCUGGUUGGGCCCU